AGUAACGGCGAGUGAAGCGGGAUGAGCUCAAGCUUAAAAUCUCCGUACAAGUUUUGUAUGGCGAAUUGUAGUCUAUAGAGGCGUGGUCAGCGUGGGCGCUUGGGGCAAGUUCCUUGGAAGAGGACAGCAUCGAGGGUGAUACUCCCGUUCAUCCCUGAGUGGCUCGUGCGUACGACCCGUUUUCUUUGAGUCGCGUUGUUUGAGAAUGCAGCGCAAAGUAGGUGGUAAAUUCCAUCUAAAGCUAAAUAUUGGUGCGAGACCGAUAGCAUACAAGUACCGUGAGGGAAAGAUGAAAAGAACUUUGAAAAGAGAGUUAAAGAGUACCUGAAACUGCUGAAAGGGAACCGAAUCGUUUCCAGUGUCUAUAAUCCGUGACAUAUUUCAUUGGCGAGUGUGUGCGUGCGUGUGCUAUGGCAGCGGCCUUUUUGGCUGCGCUUGGCGUGUGUGCUGUGUGUGCUUGCUGGUGCCCUGUGUUGCGGUGGGACGUCAAUGUCAGUUCGUAUGCUGCGGGAAAUGGCUGCCGAGGAGGUAGGGCUUACGCUUGCGUUUGUCUGUUAUAUCUUGGUGGACUAGUCGUCGCGGUUGGGACUGAGGUGCCUACAACGUGCUUUUGUGUGGGUUUGUGUCUCCGUGUGUACCGUGUGCGGAUAGCUUGCUAUGUGUGUGUGGUUAUGUAUGGAUUGAUGUAGACUCUAACUUGUUGCCGUUCGGGACAUUGACGAAAUGGAGCGAUCCGACCCGUCUUGAAACACGGACCAAGGAGUCUAACAUGUGUGCAAGUGUUAGGGUGUGGAAACCCCAGCGCGUAAUGAAAGUAAAGGGCAGAGCAAUCUGUCUGAGGUAGGAAACGUUGCGGAUCUUUGGUCUGUGGCGUGGCACUAUCGACCGAUCAUGAACCUUCGUGGUGAAAGAUUUGAGUUUGAGCACAUAUGUUGGUAYCCKAAAGAUG
rnacentral:rRNA from 1 species